GACAGAGGGUGCAAACGUUGUUCGGAAUUACUGGGCGUAAAGCGAGUGUAGGCGGUUCGAUAAGUCGGAUGUGAAAGCCCCGGGCUCAACCCGGGAAGUGCACUCGAUACUGUCGAGCUAGAGUAUCGGAGAGGUUGGUGGAAUUCUCGGUGUGAGAGGUGAAAUUCGUAGAUAUCGAGAGGAACACCGGUGGCGAAGGCGGUUCUCUGGGCCUUACCUGACGCUGGAGGAAGCGAAAGCGUGGGGAGCAAACAGG
rnacentral:rRNA from 1 species